rfam:Myotis lucifugus cont2.55321, whole genome shotgun sequence.
GAAGGGUUCCAUGAGAACAGCAGUUGCACAUGGGUCAGUCGGUCCUGAGAGAUGGGCGAGCGCCAUUCCGAGGGGACCGGCAAUGGCCUCCGUUGCCCUCAGCCGAUCGAAAGGGAGUCGUGUUCAUAUCCCCGAAUCCCGAGUGGCGGAGACGGGCGCCCCGAGGCGUCCAGUGCGGUAACGCGACCGACCCCACCACCCGGGGAAGCAGCCGGAGGCCCCAGGGAGAGUUCUCUUUUUUGUGUGAAGGGCAGGGCGCGCCGAGGAAUGGGUUUGCCCCGAGAGAGGGGCCCGUGCCUUGGAAAGCGUCGCGGUUCCUGCGACGUCCGGUGAACGCCCGCUGGUCCUUGGACAAAAAAUCCCGGGGAGAGUGUGUAAAUCUCGCGCCGGACCAUACCCAUAUCCUCCGGGGGUC